GUGGCGGUCGCGGGAAUUCGAGUGGAUCCCGCGACGAGCACAUGCAUGAUUGAGCGCUCGUAGCAUUACGGAAGCGGCAGACGGGAGAGUAACACGUGGGAACGUACCCUUCGGUUCGGAAUAACCCAGGGAAACUUGGGCUAAUACCGGAUACGUCCGUAAGGAGAAAGAUUUAUCGCCGAGGGAUCGGCCCGCGUCCGAUUAGCUUGUUGGUGGGGUAAUGGCCCACCAAGGCGACGAUCGGUAGCUGGUCUGAGAGGAUGAUCAGCCUCACUGGGACUGAGACACGGCCCAGACUCCUACGGGAGGCAGCAGUGGGGAAUAUUGGACAAUGGGCGCAAGCCUGAUCCAGCCAUGCCGCGUGGGUGAUGAAGGCCCUAGGGUUGUAAAGCCCUUUCGGCGGGGAAGAUAAUGACGGUACCCGCAGAAGAAGCCCCGGCUAACUUCGUG
rnacentral:rRNA from 1 species